ACAAGCGGUGGAGUAUGUGGUUAAUUCGACGCAACGCGCAGAACCUUACCUAGACUUGACAUCCCGGGAUUUCUGGAAACAGAGAAGUGCUUUAGCAAUAAAGAACCCGGUGACAGGUGGUGCAUGGUUGUCGUCAGCUCGUGUCGUGAGAUGUUGGGGUUAAAGUCCCGCAACGAGCGCAACCCCUAUUGUUAGUUGCCAUCAUUCAGUUGGGCACUCUAGCGAGACUGCCGGUAAUAAACCGGAGGAAGUGGGGAUGACGUCAAAUCAUCAUGCCCCUUAUGACCUGGGCUACACACGUGCUACAAUGGUUGGUACAACGAGUUGCGAGUCGGUGACGGCGAGCUAAUCUCUUAAAGCCAAUCUCAGUUCGGAUUGUAGGCUGCAACUCGCCUACAUGAAGUCGGAAUCGCUAGUAAUCGCGGAUCAGCACGCCGCGGUGAAUACGUUCCCGGGCCUU
rnacentral:rRNA from 1 species